rnacentral:tRNA from 1 species
UGGCCAAGUGGUUAAGGUGUUAGAUUCAAGAUCUAAUGGGUAUGAUCCUGUGUGGGUUUGAAUCCUGC